UCCUUCCUCCUGUCUCCACCUUUUAAACUUAAAUCUUCAUUCUUAUAACAUACUAGCUGUGCCCGGCCAUGUGUUGCUGUGGCGUAGUCUGCUGGUAUGGAAAAUAAAGUCAUGAGAAUCAGCCAGGCUUUGAAGCUGCAAGGCGAUUCAUUCCUGUUUAAUUUUUUAAGGUUAUUUUGAGUGGAGGUCAUACCUUGGAUGUGUUGGUGUAUUGUGGCCAAAUUUGGUGCCAUUUGGUCCGGUGGUUUUGUUGUUAACUCGGUCCUACAAACGUACAUUGCAUUUUUAUAUUUAUUUAUUUAUGUAUUUAUUUACAGUAUUUAUAUUCCGCCCUUCUUUCUCACCCCGAAGGGGACUCGGGGCGGAUUACAAUGAACACAUAUAUAUGGCAAACAUUCAAUGCCAACAGACAAACAACAUACAUUAGACAGACUCAGAGGCAUUUUUUUAAACAUUUUUCCAGCUUCACGAUUCCGGCCACAGGGGGAGCUGUUGCUUCACCGUCCACUGGUGGCUGUACUUCCUCAUUCCUUUCCUCGUGUUUUGCUGGCAGUUUUACGGUGUUGUAAAUUAGUUAAAUUAGCCUCCCCGCAUAAAGCGUCCCUAAAUUUCCCUACUUGACAGAUGCAACUGUCUUUUGGGGCUGCAUAGGUCAACAGCAAGCCGGGGCUAUUAAUGGUCGGAGUCUUAACCCAUCCCAGGCUUCGAACUCAUGACCUCUCGGUCAGCAGUGAUUUAUAGCAGCUGGUUACUAGCCAGCUGCGCCACAGAUUCACACUUGUAUAGAUUCACACUUGUGGAAUUUCAUCCUCUUCAAGCACUUCACACACAGGUCCAGUGCAUCCCUUGACCCCCUCAAAGUGCUGUUUGCCUUUGCAGGAGGAGGCCACCUACAUCCAGGAGAUCAUGACAACGGCAGACGGGCAGAUGGUGCAGCACCUGGUGACAGCAGAAAAUCAGGUCCAGUACAUCAUCACUCAGGACGGCGUCCAGCCACUCCUCCCCCACGAAUAUGUUGUCCUUCCGGAGGGGCACCACCUCCAGGUGCAGGAGGGGCAGAUCACCCACAUCCAGUACGACCAAAGCGGGACCUUUGUGCAGGAGCCCCAGAUCCAGUAUGUGCCGGUCUCGCCAGGGCAGCAGCAGGUGGUCAGCCAGGCCCAGCUGGAGGUGGCCGCUCACUCGGCGGUCACAGGUAGGUGUGCAGACAGGGGCAAGGGAGCACCUGGCCAAGGACAGCCACUGGCUUGGGUCUGCCGUGCAAAAGGGAGAAAACAGGGGGGGGAAACCCACCGUUUAUAUCAUGAAAGAACACCUUUCUUCUGUUCUCCCUGAAAGUUCGGGGGGGGGGGGGGUCUCCUUCCUUCUCUGGAGUUUUUAAAGCAGAGACUAGAUGUCCAUCUGUUGGGAGAGAUUGGAUAGUGCAUUUCUGCCUGGCAGAAAGAAGGGAGUUGGACUGGGUGGCCCUUGGGGUCUCCUCCAGUAAUCAUAAUAACAACACUAUGUAACAAAAUUUGAAAUUUUUUCCUAUUUAUUUAUUUAUUUAUUUAUUUGCAGUAUUUAUGUUCCUGUUUUGAAAGUAUUAUUUCCUGUUUAAUUAUACAGUCCUUACUUUGAAAGUAGUUCCUCUGCUCCAGAUACAGUUUGUUAACCUAAGCAUGGUUUUACCUGUCUCAAGCAUGACAGGUGUGUAAUAGUAGGUAUGUGAAUACCUUAAAACACUCGCUAGUUCAAAUGCUACGUUGUGUCCUUAUUUCGAAGCAAUCGGUGAAGGUCCCUCACAAACGGACUUUACAUUUUUAUUUAUAUAGGAUAUUAGACACUUGGGAACUGUCCGGCAUGUGCUGCAAUACAACAGCCAGCAUAGUGAUCUUGUCUGCUGUACACUCAUCUUGUUGUGUAUCAAGUAAUAAUAAUAAUAGAUAAUAAUAAUAAUAAUAAUAAUAAUAAUAAUAAUAAUAAUAAUAAUUGGGUGCUGUGCCAAAAGAUCUCAGCCGGCAUUUGGAAACAAUAGACAUUGACAAAAUCACAAUCUGCCAACUGCAAAAGGCCACCCUACUGGGAUAUGCACGUAUCAUCCGAAAAUACAUCACACAGGCCUAGACACUUGGGAAGUGUUCGACUUGUGGUUUUGUGAUAUGAAAUCCAACAUAUCUAUCUUGUUUGCUGUGUCAUAAUAAAAUAAUAAUAAAAAAUAAAAAUAGAUAAUUACAAUGGCAUCCCCCU
rnacentral:lncRNA from 11 species